rnacentral:rRNA from 1 species
UGAUGAAGGUCUUAGGAUUGUAAAAUUCUUUCACCGGGGGACGAUAAUGACGGUACCCGGAGAAGAAGCCCCGGCUAACUUCGUGCCAGCAGCCGCGGUAAUACGAAGGGGGCUAGCGUUGCUCGGAAUUACUGGGCGUAAAGGGAGCGUAGGCGGACUGUUUAGUCAGAGGUGAAAGCCCAGGGCUCAACCUUGGAAUUGCCUUUGAUACUGGCAGUCUUGAGUACGGAAGAGGUAUGUGGAACUCCGAGUGUAGAGGUGAAAUUCGUAGAUAUUCGGAAGAACACCAGUGGCGAAGGCGACAUACUGGUCCGUUACUGACGCUGAGGCUCGAAAGCGUGGGGAGCAAACAGGAUUAGAUACCCUGGUAGUCCACGCCGUAAACGAUGAGUGCUAGUUGUCGGCAUGCAUGCAUGUCGGUGACGCAGCUAACGCAUUAAGCACUCCGCCU